UACGGAGGGUGCAAGCGUUGCUCGGAAUCACUGGGCGUAAAGCGACCGCAGGCGGCCUGACAAGUCGGAUGUGAAAGCCCUGGGCUCAACUCAGGAAUUGCAUUCGAAACUGGCAGGCUCGAGUACGGGAGAGGGGGGUGGAAUUCCUGGUGUAGGGGUGAAAUGCGUAGAUAUUGGGAGGAACACCGGUGGCGAAGGCGGCUACCUGGACCGGUUCUGACGCUGAUGCGCGAAAGCGUGGGGAGCAAACAGG
rnacentral:rRNA from 1 species